UACGGAGGGUGCGAGCGUUAAUCGGAAUUACUGGGCGUAAAGCGCACGCAGGCGGUUUGUUAAGCUAGAUGUGAAAGCCCCGGGCUCAACCUGGGAUGGUCAUUUAGAACUGGCAGACUAGAGUCUUGGAGAGGGGAGUGGAAUUCCAGGUGUAGCGGUGAUAUGCGUAGAUAUCUGGAGGAACAUCAGUGGCGAAGGCGACUCCCUGGCCAAAGACUGACGCUCAUGUGCGAAAGUGUGGGUAGCGAACAGG
rnacentral:rRNA from 1 species